AGUUUGGCCAUAGCAAGCCUGCUGGACCCUGGACCCUCCUGCAGUUCUAUUUCCUGGUGCUAGUUUGUCUCUGCUUCUGGACUUUGCCUGGUGGAUUUCCUCCCAGAUUGGUACUUGACAUCUGACUAGGGUUGCCAACUCUGGCUGAAGCUAUUCCAAGAGAUUUUGUUUUCUGCUAUUCAACCCGUUCACAAUAUCCAACUCCCAGAUUGCUUUCUGUAGUCACGGGAAGAUCGAUGCCGAUUCCGGUAGAUUCCCGGCCAAUCAGGGAGGGUUGGCAACCCUACAUCUGAUCCCUGCCAGGUCCUGGCUCUGGGCUGUGUUGUGGACCCUGCCUCUGGAUGGCUCUCCCUCUAGCUUGGUAUAUGGCUCCUGGCCUUUGACACAGCGCAAGGCCCUGCUUUCCCUCCAUGGCCUAGCCAUUAGGCCAGGCUGCCUAUGCCCCUGGUCCAUUACAGAUUCUCUCGAUAGUUUUCUCCUCUUGUUGCCUGAAAUCCACAUCUUUUACCUUCACUGCUCUGAACAGCUGUAGCUCAGUUCAUGUGACAACUGUUCCUUUUUUCCUGUUCUUCCUAACCUGUCUUUUGGUGUUCCCUUCAUAUCUCUUACUCAUUCUCUCACUUUCUCCCAUGUUGCUGGGUUCAGAUUAGUCUGCCCAUUUCCUUAUUGGCAAAAAAGCAAGUAUUUUUGGAGGAGUGAUACUUGUUCUUUGGGAUUAGAGACACCACCCAUCCCUAAUUGGGCAGGACAGUUCUGGAAUGGGAACCUCAAAUCCCAGUCCCUGCAUGACUCCAGAACAGCAUUUGUCCCAGAUUUACAGCAAUGUGCAGGAAUCCACGGGAAACAACGGGUAUUCCAGCCUGCAAGGGACUGCCAGGAGCAGGACGUAGGGGCACAGGCAGAUUAAUGCAUGGGGCCCCUGCCAAACAGGGACUCCCUGGGGUGCCACUGGCAGCAUGGCCCAUGCAGGCAUUCUAGCCGUGGGCAUCUGGGGGAGGCAGUGUGUGCCUCCUCCCCUGUGGCUGGGCCAGAGCCAGAGGCUAGAGCAGUGGGCACAGGGCUUCAUGCAGGUGGUGGUGGCUUCCCAGGGUCAUUUGUUGCCAGGGGGCCCUAUGGGCAGCCCUGCUCCUGCUCCCACUCUCUGCCAUCUGUGGGUGGCCACCAGCCCCAACGCCACUGGAACAGGAUAGGACAGUCCCUCUCCCCAGGGCCGACAGAGGGACUGGCAGGCAGCUAGGGGUGGCAUGGAACCAGUGCCUUGCCCCGAGCCAGCCCCAGCCUAGCUGCUUGACACCCACUAGGUGGAGGGUCCGGGAUAGGUCAGGGCUGGGCUGCCUUUAUCUCAAUGGCACUCGCCCCCUGGCUUGCUCCGGAUGUGCUGAGGAGGCUGGCUAGGCCCAGCCACAGCACCCUGGUGGGUGCAGAGGAAACCUACCCUUGCAUGAUGGGGGCCUCCAAUUUUCUGUUUGCCCAGGGCCACAAUAAAUCUUAAUCUGCCACUGCACAGGGGGCACCACGUGCAUGUGCACUCCUGCACUCAUGCAAGUGUCUGGGAAUAUAACCAGGCAGCAUGGAGAGCAGCUCCUUGCAAGUAAGUCCAUGGGUGGGGGGGGCACAGAUUGAGGCCCCCCCCACAGUGAGGGAGAGAGUGGGGCUUGGGGUGCUACCCAGCCAGGACAGUCAUGGGGCUGGGGCAUGGAGCAGGACAGAACCACAGCUGGCUCAUCCAGGGAGUGGAAGGCAUGGGGGGCAAGGAACCUGCCUCCCCAGAUUUGUGCAUGAGGCAGGGGCGGAUGCUGGCUGGCUGCUGCAGACUCUGGGCUCCCUGCCCUGCUGCUGUUCCCCCAGAGCCCCACACUGGCUGUGCCACCAUGGCGAGGCACCCCCUGCCCACCUGGUAACAGCGGGGGUGGCAGUGGCAUGGAGUUGUGCCCCCUGCUGCUGCGGGACUCCCAGAGGAAAGGCACCAGGGCAGAGAGCCGAGAGCCCACAGUAGGCAGCCCACAUCCACCCCUGCUCUGUUCGGCUCUCCUCCAGCCGUGCUGCCGGCAGGGAGAAGGGCAGGGAGGGAGGAAGGCAGGUAUGUGUCCCACCUUUCCAUUUUGAAAAGUUGAUCAUCCUAUUUGGGAUAAAGUGAGACAAGCUUUCCAAUACAAUGUUUUUUCAUUGAAAUGCCAUCCUCCCCUCACUUCUCUCUGAGGGUGAAGUUACACUUAAUAUUUCAUAGAUUUAUUAUGGGCUAUAUGGCAUCAAAGUUAGAACAUGCUGUGAGCAGUCAGACAUAAAGGAUUAACACAGUUUCUUGCCUGCACAGCUCUAAAGGGUUGAGGGACAUAGCUAGGAACCAACACACAGCUCUAGUCCUGUUGGAGGGGGAGGAGUGGGGCCUUGGGAGCAAUGCAUCCGGGGGUGCUGGAGGACUUAUAGUUGCUUGUUUCAUCCCUGCAGUGGACUGAAGUUACCAUAACAAGCUAGGCAGGAUGGCCCAGAGUUAAACUUCACCUAAAGUGGUAUAACUGUGAGAUGCUCACAGGGCACUUAGCACGAAUUCAGCUUUUAAUAUGCAAUGCUCAUGUCUUCAGUGCCCUUAGUAUUGUCUAAGUUAGGGGUGGGAAAAAUGGUGGAUCCAGAGAGCAGCCAGAUUCCAUUUCCCAGCAGCCCCUGCCCACAUGGCUCACAUGUUGAUCCUGGGAGCAGCAGGGCUGUGACAGCGUGGGGCCACAGAGUCAGGGCUCUGCCCCAGCCUUGCCCUGCAUUGUCAUGGCCCCACACUGUCAUGGUCCUGUGCUCCUGGGGUCUCCAUGGUGCAUUGUGGGAAGGGCAUAUGGCUGGGCUGGGACCUUGUGCACUGACAGUGCGGGCCCGGAGGUGAAGCAGAGCUGCAAUCCACUCCCUGCAUGGCACUGCCCAUGGAACCCACACUCAUUGCAGGGGCAUGUGGGCAGCAGAUCACAGCUUUGCCUUGGCCUUGGCCCUGGCCCCUCAGGGUCUCCUGGGCCCUGCCUGCCCAUCUCACUCCCAACCACAGCCCCAUCUUGGCCAUGCACCCUGCCUGCAUGGGUCCUGCCCCUGGCGGUGGGUACAGGGUGGAUGGGCUGGGGAGCCCCAGCAACAGGGCUGGGUCCAGUGGCCACCACCAGAAGGAGCUGCCACUGCAGGGGCUGUUGCAAAAUAGUUGCAGGCCUGAUCCAGCCUGUGGGCCAGACUGCCCACCCCUGGUCUAAGUGGAACUUGUAACUUCACCCUAUCACAUGCUUCUUUCAGGUGCCCUUUCCAAUGAUUUUUCCACACCUAAAAUGUUGCUCUGUUUUGUUCUUUUUUUAAAGUAGUUUCAUAGAGCUCAAGAAAGCGGUAAUUUAUGUGAAGUACUGAAUAACAACCCUGUGGAACUGUCAGGCCUCCCACCAUCAGUACUAAAAGGUACAAGCAAUUCCCUGCAGGUGCAAAAUUUGCAUAUCGUACAAUGAGUAAGCACAGGCACUUACUGGCAGGGUAAAACACAUUAGUGGAUUCUUCAAAAAUUAGUACUAGAGGAAUACAUUUUAAAAUUGCUUGUGUGAUUUCUUGAAAUGAAUAUUCCAGGGCAGAAACAAAUUAUCUAGGUACCUCAAGAACCAAUAUGAACGGAUAUAUAUUACUUUCUUGGAUAUUUUUUCCCCUGCUGGUAAAUUGCCACUUCGUGAUAUAACUAGCUUUAGGAACAGAGCUAUUGUUCCCCUGUACCUGAAAUUGAGUUCAGUUCCUCAUUGCUUUCUCAGUAUUGUGAUCCUUUCCUCCUCUUUUAUUUUCUUUGGUUGAGACUUUUGUGUGUAGUCAGCUGUCCUAGAGCCAGGACUAUGAUCCAAACAACACAGAAGCCAAUAAAAGACUGACUUCAAACUCCUGGCCAAAUGUUCCUAGUACCCUACAUAAUAGAAGUGCAAGAUUCCAGGCAAGAAUACCUUGCAUAGGAAGCACAAAAUAGUCGUAGCUGGAAUACCAGACAGUCUGUCAGAUGGCAGGAAACUGUAGGUCAUGUAGGUCACCAAGAACUCUUGUCAGAACACAAGCUGGCUGAUAACAGAUGAUUCCAAGAAUAGCAAGUGCUUGCUUCUAGGAGCAUGCUGUCAUUUCUGCCACUGGAAAUUAAAGCCUAUUAUAAAGGGCAGAUUUGGGAAAGAUCAUUAUGGGGGAUGAAAGAACAGUAGCCACAUGAUAGGCCUUAAAGAUGAAUAUCAAGGACACCUGGCUAUGUAUUGAAAGCAGAGUGGGCUACCAGAUAUUAGACCAGUGAUCCUCAACUAGGGUGCCAUUGCACCCUGGGGUGAGUUGAGAUCCUUUCAGAGGUGCUGGGAAGUGCCAUGCAAUCUUAGCACUGUUUGGUGUGCAAAUAUUAUUAAUAAAAUAAGCCCAGAGAUGUCAGAUUGGAAUCCAUAGUGUUAAAAGUAUUCUGAUCUGUUGUGGCCUUUCUGAGCUCUUUGCAACAGAAGAAUCACUCUCUUUCUCUCUCUCUCUCUCUAUAUAUAUAUAUAUUUUUUUAGUCAAAAAUCAAGUGAAGACUAAGAGCUAACAUUUUCUGAGGGGUACCUUGAAUCUAAAAAUGUUAGAUUAUAUGUAAAAAUAAUUGGGGUUUGCCUUUGGUAUUAAUAGUACCGUAAAAUGAAAUGGUUUUGUAAACCAAUCUGUAAUAUUAGGUGGAGUUACGUCCAUGAAAAACUUGAACAAAUUUAUUUCCAGAUAUUAAUGUGUGUUUUAUCUUACCCACCUCUAUCAACUUUCUUGUUAUUAGAGAAGCGUGUCUUUCUGAAAGUCAAUACCAUAAGCCUGACAUUUAGGACUGAUUUUGCAGUCAGUGGAAUCUGCUGUGGGUCUUCCAAUAGAAAGGUAAAACAAUUGCAUUUCCUCCCUAGUAACCUGCUAGUGAAGACCUCCUUAAUUUUUGUUCAUCUGUAACUGAUCAGGAGAGUUGAGAGAGGCAAUAACCAAAAUCAUGGGCAUUGCCAAAAACAGGAAAAGGGAACAAAUCAGUUUUGCAACCGCAUACACAAAAUUAUCCUUCAUAGUUACUGAUCCACUUAUGUUAUUCUGUCUUUUUAUAUAUUUAUAAAUUUCAUCUCUCAGGCCAAAUUAGCCAAAUCAGCUCCAAAUUCUAAUGACUGAGCAGAGCUUAAUUAUUCAAGUCCUACUUGCCAGUGUGGCACCACCACUGGCAAGUAUCCUACCUCCUAGAUUCUUCAGCCUGGGGCUUCAGGCACUCCCACAUCCAAGGCAGACAUCCUACUUGCAGGUCUCAAGUUCAGAGGCCUUGGAGUUCAGAUGCCCCCUAGUCUCACUUGCCCCUAGCCAAAAGGCCAUAGGAGCAAGCUAGAGGAAGAAGCCGAGAGCAGUCUUCCAUCACCAUAAAUUGUGUAGCCGAGAGGGAGGCUAUAGUAGACACUCACAGGGGUGCCCGCACACAGUGCAGUGGACAAGUCUCCAUCCUCAGGUACACCAAGUUAGGCUGAGAAGAAAGGGAUCUCCCCUGCCAGGUACAUACAACCAGCUGGGCUGACACCAACAUCAUGGCAGUCUGUCUUUGUGCUGACUGUUAUGUAAUGAAUGAUGUCACAAUUUGUUUCAGCAUACAGUUCACUUCAGUACAGAGGUCACCACAGCUGUCUAGCCACAAGGUAAAGGCAACAUGGUAUGUUGCUUGAAAUAAAUUCUUUGAGAACCAGUAUUGCAUCUCUAACCAUUUGGUAUGUAAUGUUUGGCUGACAAAAGCAGUACAUCUUGAGCAAAGAAUCCCUCAGAAGAAUUUUACAAUGAUCGUUGUCUUUUGGAUAAUUUUCCUUCUGGGAAUAACAGCAAAGGAGAGGUUUUACCUACCAGCACCACCUGCUGAGGCUCGCUAUGAACGGCAAAAGAAAUACGACUCAGCAAAAAAGUAACCAACGUAGUACUACAGCCAUACACUGCCAAACGCAGAGCAAAUCAUUAAGCUUCAAGAAUGACAAGGGUGCUGUGUAACAAAUGCCAUUUCGAAGCUAGACACUCGCUUAUGAAUAACACUUGUUGAUGGCUUCAAGCUUGAUGACAUAAGAUGGCAUCCAGCACCUUGCACCAAGAGUCCUCAACCUGGUCAGGUGCCCUGUUCCCAUUGGUGGUUUUACAUAAAGCAAUUGCACAACAUUUUGUCAUUUGUAUAAGUGUUGCCUAAGACCUUAAAAUUAUAUCCACAAAUCCCUCUCUCAGAGCCUGAAAGACUGAAGUUCUACCCUGCCUUGAUAUAUUUGGGGAGUAUAUCUAAUUUUAACCUGCUGUAGAAAGAGUAUUCUCUCUUAUCCAAUCCAUGUGGGAAAUAUUAAGCCAUAUAUCAGCCUAGAUAACUGAAAGUUCACAUAUAGUUUCUAAAUCUACAAAAAUAGAAUGGAGCAGGAGGGAGAGAACUUAAGACUCAGUCUUGCAAGGUGUCACGCACUAGCAAAGACUUAAACACACGCUUAACUUUAAGUACAAAUAAUCCUCUUGAAGUAGUGGGAGUACAGCUCUACUUACACACACAGUUGGGCAGGGACUAGAGUGUUCAACACCAAAGAUAGAAAUCCUUGAUGAGCAAGUUACAGAAGACUAUAAUACUUAAAGAUAUUCACAAGAUGUUCAAAAUACUUUCUAUUUGAGCAUGACUGGUAUUUACCGGGCAGGUACCUCAGACUUUCAACUCCCCUGUUAAAUUAUUACAACUCCCUUCUCCAAGAAUACAAGACCCAGCAGAUACAGAAGGCCUCUGCUUACCUCCUGCACAUUAACUCUGUAAAUUAAAGGAGUGUAAUACCAUUUGAGAAAGCAAAGUAGUAGUAUAUUAUUUAUAGGUCAUCUGUCAGGUAGUCUCUCAGAUAUAUCACAACCCAAUUCAAAAGAGACUGUUGCUAGGUCUGGCUUGAUGAAAGAGUCCUUUUCUGCUUCUCAUUACAGUCUGCACAGGUGCAAGGCAGUUGAAAACUGAGGUUUGGAUUUUUACUUGCAUAUUCCUUCUGUUCCAAAGGCUGGUAUUCUUCACCAGCAAGAAGUAAUAGAAAAGGUACAGGCAGAGAGGUUUUCUUUGAGGUUUCACAGAAAAGAGUAAGGUAUUCAGUUACAGAAAAACUGAACCACUUUCUCCCAUGCUUAGGUAAAGCAUUAAAAUUAUAUACUGAUGUAACACUUAGACAAUUCUCAAACACCUGGCCUGUUGGAGGCCCCUUCCAUCAACUACCAGUCUUUUAUCAAGGCAUCCAAGUAGUGGCUUGCGCCAGCAACAUGGUCCACAGGCCACAAGUGGUCUGUAAGCAUGUAACAUGCAGUUGGUGAGACCCAGUGGUCACCUCUCCCACUACUGCAUGGCAGGGAACAGCCUGGGGGUCCAUACCCUGCCUGUACAGCCAGAGCAGCAGGGGGGCACCCUGUGCAGUUGGCAAUGGUGGGGGGCUGCAUGCUGCCAACAGAGCUGCCUGUGGAGCACCCCCCCCCACACACACACUGAAUUUGGGCAGCACUGUUUUAACUCAUUCACUGUAUGCACUAUGAAAAGAAAGAAAAGCCACAAUUUUCACACUUAGUUUUAUUCUCUGUGUGAAACAAUGUUGUACUGAAAACUUUGCAUCUACCAACUUCAGCCUGGGUAAUUUUAAAGUAAAAUGAAAAAGAGGCAUCUCAGUAGGGGAACACAAUAAAGAAAAUGUGUUAGUAGUAUUUUUGAGAAAGUAUUUCUAGGAAUCAGUCCUCUGACCAGUGAAAAGACCAGAUCCCAUGGAAGGGUAUGACCUGUGUAUAUUUAGGUAACCAUAACAGAAUUGAAAUUACAUGUAAGGCUUGCAUGUUAGGACAGGUGUGUGGAAAUUGUGCUUCUGAAGUAGAGAAAAUAGUCCAAGCAAAUUAAAUUCUGUGGAUCAGAGAAAAUCAGGUGCAAUACAGGUAGCAGCAUCACCACCUCCAAAGCACCACACCAAACUGUCUUUGGUUCUGGAAACACCAGGUUUAGAGAAAGUGGGUAAGCUCUCUUUCCUUAUUCACCAUUUCCCUCCUAAGGCAACCAGCAAGUGGCCAAAUACAGUUGUGAUGUCUUUUUUUUGGCAACUAGACUAUAACCAAACUUACUGGCACAUCACUACAUACUCGUCAUUCAAAACCUACUGACAACCAUAGCUAGACUUGAAUAUGGCAAUAUUCAGGGGUUUAAAAUCCCAUAAAUCCCUUGAGAUAUCCACUACUCUCCCCGAAGCAUUAAAAUAAAAAUUACCUAAUCAAAGCUCAAUGUGAUAAGCAUUACAUGUACAACACUAUAUUGCUAACAUUGCAAGUGUGGAUUCCCACUGGAUGCAUAAAUCUAGGAAAAAGAAGUUAAAUAAACAUUUUCUGCAAA